rnacentral:lncRNA from 1 species
GCAAUAAAUUAAGUAAAAAAAUGUGAUAUUAGCAUCUAGAAAUGCAUAUGCAAAAUAAUUUAUAUUCAUAUGGAUGUUUUGCAUUCUCAGCUACAACAAAUAGCAAUUUUAACAAUCAGUUCUUCCAGGUCCUGUGGUGCUUAUUAUAACAGAAUUUCACUGCAGUGUCACUAUAUGGGUAUAAAAUUGAAAGACUCUCAUUAUGGUAUUCUCAACCCUUCUGAUCAAGGGCAGCAAUACCAGAGUUUGUUGUACAGGAAAUGCAGAGUGUACAGAUUUGCCAACUGCUUGUUGUAGAGACAAUAAACCAAAAUCAUAGUAAAAUUCUUGCAAGCUUACGAAAUGCUUUAGUACAAAUGAAUUGAAAGCAUUAAUAAAUUAUUAUGAAGUCAUUGAAAGUCAUACAUAUUUGAAAAUACAGA